GGAAUCGACAUUUAAGGGUUUGGU
rnacentral:siRNA from 1 species